rnacentral:rRNA from 1 species
AUUGGACGCUGGCGGCAUGCCUUACACAUGCAAGUCGAACGGCAGCACGGGGGCAACCCUGGUGGCGAGUGGCGAACGGGUGAGUAAUGCAUCGGAACGUGUCCUCUUGUGGGGGAUAACCAGUCGAAAGAUUGGCUAAUACCGCAUGAGAUCGAGAGAUGAAAGCGGGGGACCCGAGGGUAACUUCGGGCCUCGCGCGAGAGGAGCGGCCGAUGCCGGAUUAGCUAGUUGGUGGGGUAAGAGCCUACCAAGGCGACGAUCCGUAGCUGGUCUGAGAGGACGACCAGCCACACUGGGACUGAGACACGGCCCAGACUCCUACGGGAGGCAGCAGUGGGGAAUUUUGGACAAUGGGCGCAAGCCUGAUCCAGCCAUGCCGCGUGUGUGAAGAAGGCCUCGGUUGUAAGU